rnacentral:tRNA from 1 species
UGGGGUGUGGCUCAGUGGUAAAGCACUUCCCUAGUGUGCCCAAGGUUCUGGGUUCCAUCCCCAGCACCACAA